rnacentral:lncRNA from 1 species
GGGGCGAGCCCGCCCUCCAUCCAUCAGGCGCCGUCCACACGCAUGAAACCCAGUGUUUAAAAAAAGAGGGUUGAGAACGAAGCUUUGAAAGGACCCCUAUGAAUCAAAACCAGUCAGCAGAAAAUAAAUGUGGGAACAUUACUGAUCUGUGGAAAAUGGCAUUUUUACAUCAAAUCUGUUUAAGGGAUAAUGUAUAUUUUAAUGUGUGGGUCUUGGUAGACUUUUCCACCCCAGCUGUCCUCUGGAAAUAUUAUUUACUCUCCAUUCCUCAUAACCUGAUUGAAUUUUAAUUUCACCCAUCACUCUUUUUAAACAGUCACUGUAACAUUAUUAAUGAAAUUACAAGAUUCUUUUUUUUUUUUUACCCUUUCUAUUCACAGCGAUGCCCUUGUGCUUCUACCUGGAAGAGCUGGCAUUUUUCAGGUCUAUUUAUGGCAAUAAAAGGCACUCGGAUCAGCUGUGAUGUUGCUGCUGGGUUUCUCUGACUUAAAGAGUGCCCAGGCGGCUCCUGGGGGCGGGUGGAAAUGGCUGAUCCUGUUGUUAAAACAGAAAUCCGCCCCGGGCUGCAGCACCCGCCUUCUCCUCCCGACCAGUCCCCAGCUAGAAAGACACGUGGUCACUACUUCCAAGAAUCUCUCUUUGGAAACGAUGCUGUCACAUCAGAAGAGGGUGCCGGGACAAGGACGGGGCAGGUGAGGGAGGCGGAAGCCCUUGGCUGCAUGCCCUGGGAAGGCUGAGAUCUUGGCCACAGCAGUCCCCAAAAUGUGCCCCUCGGCCUUACGGCGUCCAGAUGGGCUCAUCACCCCGAAGGCCUGUCUCAGGACUGUCAGGAAGGCAGGGGGCCUGGGGCGUGGUGCCAAGGCCCAAUUCGCGCUGCCUGCUUCUCUUUUCAUCACCCCUGAGAACGCACGGGCCUGGAAAGGGCCUUGGCAGGCCUGCGGGCACCCUACACUUAAUAUGCAGCGGCGGGCAGCCAAGGGGGCGGGGCGGGACAGCAGCCACGUCACACCCGACGGGAUGGCAUCAGCUCCUGGAGGAACAGCAUCGUGCUAAAGCAGUAGACCAGCCUCGGCGGGGAAAGAUGAGGCGGCCGCUUAAAGCCUUUGCACAUGACCCUCCAGAAUGACCCUGGAGAUAAACCAGCGCCUGCGUGCGCUCGGAGAACGCUCAGCCUGUACUCCUUCCACGCUGAGGAGGCGUCGUGGCCGCGCUGGGCAUUCUCGGCUCCAAGAACGAAGGGCUGGCAGGAGGUGGAGGACGGCAGGUUCUGGAAGGCAGGGAAGAUGGUGCCCGCUCCCUGGCAGAGCCGCCCCUCCCGGACUGCUUCGGAAAUACGAACUCUCCUUCCCGUUCCGUUCCAUGAGGGAAAGGCAGGAGUGAGUGAGGGAUGAACGGAGGCAGCUGGCAGAGGUGACUCCACAGGG